GCUCGUGCCGGUUCGUGCCUCGUGCUUCGUGCGGCGUUUUAACAUCGUUCGGUACGAUCGUUCGUUCGAUAUACGAAUGUGAAUGUUUAAACGACAAAAUAUAUUUCGCAUAAUUGUUACACGAAGCGUGUAACAAUUUACUUUGACUGCCGAGUUUGCAAGUUAUUCGUGUCGAUUUGUGCGGUGUCGAGUAUGCGCGAUUUGGAGGUUAGGAGUCGUCGAGUCGCGAAACUGGACAACACGUAUUUCGCUCGUAUGAAUUAUGGAUACGCAUUCGCGGACGAAACUUGUGUAGGAGAGACGGGAAAAAUUAAUGGAGCCGAAUGAGAUUCGAACUCGGGAUCCUUCGUUCUCACGCCUAGAUUGGAGCCUUCGAAAACCUGAUGUCAUUGUUUUUGUUGAAAAUUACGAGUUGUGACUUCAUUAUAUGUUCAAUCCGACUCUUGGUGAGAGCGUCGACUGACAGUUAUGAAGAUUAUGAAUUUGAAAAGAUUAGAUGAGAGCCUGAAGUUCAAUAUAUAAAAACUUUUUAACAUGCAAAUUCUGUAUGUUACAAAUGUUGAGAUCUUCCUCAAGGAAAGCUCGAUUACACUUCAGUGUUUAAUACCAAUGAUAACCAAAGGAAAAAGAUGGCUGGAAAAUUAUAUCUAUAAUCCAGGAUAAUGAAAAGAAAAUCCGUCAUCAGCAUUUAGAAACAACCUGGAACAACCGUGUUCAAAGUUAUAUGAUGUGCACGUUCAUUAUGAUGUGCACGGUUACAAUAGGAAAUAUAUAGCUUAUAACAAAGUACAUUGAGAAACUUAAGAAUAAAAUCUUUGUUGUGAACUUUCUUCUGUCAUUUUGGAAAGGACUGGAACUUGUAAUAAAGAUUUCCAGAAACUGGGCCUGUUCAGACAGAUCUGUAGACAUUUGUAAUAUUUAUGCAAAUAAAUGUUUCUCAAGAUGAUAAUAAACAUAUACAUUUUACAAAUA